rnacentral:rRNA from 1 species
UACGUAGGCAGCAAGCGUUGUUCGGAGUUACUGGGCGUAAAGGGUGCGUAGGCGGUCCGCUAAGUUGGAUGUGAAAACUCUGGGCUUAACCCAGAGCCUGCAUUCAAAACUGACGGGCUAGAGUUCUGGAGGGGGUAGCGGAAUUCCUGGUGUAGCGGUGAAAUGCGUAGAUAUCAGGAGGAACACCGGUGGCGAAGGCGGCUACCUGGACAGAAACUGACGCUGAGGCACGAAAGCUAGGGGAGCAAACAGG